rnacentral:rRNA from 1 species
CCUACGGGAGGCAGCAGUGAGGAAUAUUGGUCAAUGGACGAGAGUCUGAACCAGCCAAGUAGCGUGAAGGAUGACUGCCCUCUGAGUUGUAAACUUCGUUUGUAUGGGAGUAAAACAGGGUAUGCAUACCCUCUUGUAUGUACCAUAUGAAUAAGGAUCGGCUAACUCCGUGCCAUCAGCCGCGGUAAUACGGAGGAUCCGAGCGUUAUCCGGAUUUAUUGGGUUUAAAGGGAGCGUAGGUGGAUUGUUAAGUCAGUUGUGAAAGUUUGCGGCUCAACCGUAAAAGUGCAGUUGAAACUGGCAGUCUGGAGUACAGGAGAGGUGGGCGGAAUUCGAGGUGUAGGGGUGAAAUGCUUAGAUAUCACGAAGAACUCCGAUUGCGAAGGCAGCUAACUGGACUGCAACUGACACUGAUGCUCGAAAGUGUGGGUAGCAAACAGGAUUAGAUACCCCAGUAGUC